ACUGUUUUCCUGGGUGGUUCUCCACGUUCCAAUUAAUGCAUGCAUGGUAUUCUUGUGAUAAGCAUAGAUAGAAGGAUGGUUAGGGACACUUGCCUUUCUCCAACGAGAAGUUACUCUUCAGCUCUUGCUCUCUUGAAACUCUUAAUCUUCAAAUCUUUCGAACAACGAUCCUUCUACUCGAAGCAAUCACCGGCACAAACAUACAUGCAAACAAAUAAGUACAACUAAGAACAAUACACCAAAAUAAAAGAAAAGCUUUAAAAGAACAUACUAAAGGAUAGGACUCGAUUCUAAGAUCGCAAACGCAAGAAACACGGGCAACGAAACUAUGGUUGAAAAGAUUAAGCUAUAGAGAGGUUUGAAUUAUAAAAGAAAGACAAGAGCUACAUGCUUCGUUUAUUUUAGUUGAGAAAAACAAUGUACAAAUAUUUCAGAUAAAUACCCUUAGUUGGAAUUAAUCAAGUCAUAUUUACAUAUGAAAAGAUGAUGUAAAG
rnacentral:lncRNA from 1 species